AUCCAGAUGACGAGUCCCAAUUAGGAUGAAGCACGCUUCCUGCAU
rnacentral:hammerhead_ribozyme from 1 species